rnacentral:lncRNA from 1 species
GUAGUGGCGGAUGUGGAUGGUGGCGACAUUGGAUUUCUCUCCUCGAUCCAAUUGUCUUCUCUCUCUCCAAUGGCUAACAUCAACGGUAGUGGCGGAUGCGAAUGGUGGCGACACUGGAUUUCUCUCCUCGAUCCAAUUGUCGCUCCUUUCUAAGGUUAGAAAUUUUAUCCUUUUUUCUACUCUUCGUGUCAUUGCUAUUUAUUGUCAGUUUUUAGGGC